GGUCAGCCUGGCGGAUAAACCUUGGAGUCUCCUGGGCCCAUUCCCAUGGCAACAUGGGCCUAUGAAGAAGCCAGAUGGGACGGAGCUUAUAACAACAACCUUCUAAGGAGAAUACAUCAAACAAUAUUACCUUGAAACAAGCAGGCACCUCUGCAAGAGAGUGAAUUCUGGAUCAAGCAACAGUUUCUUUAUGUCACUGUGGAAGAAAUCCGGACAAAAGUGAGACAAAAGUUUUCAAUCAAACAAUAAAGCAUGGGGGUUGAUCAAUAUACUCUUGAA
rnacentral:lncRNA from 1 species